rfam:Vitrella brassicaformis CCMP3155 genome assembly, contig: scaffold380
GCUCCCAUCGUCUAGAGGCCUAGGACGUCUCUCUUUCACGGAGACAACAGGGGUUCGAACCCCCUUGGGAGCG